ACGUAGGGGGCAAGCGUUGUCCGGAUUUAUUGGGCGUAAAGAGCGUGUAGGCGGUCUGAAAGGUCAGCUGUGAAAACUCGAGGCUCAACCUCGAGACGUCGGUUGAAACCAUCUGGCUAGAGUCCGGAAGAGGAGUGUGGAAUUCCCGGUGUAGCGGUGAAAUGCGCAGAUAUCGGGAAGAACACCCGUGGCGAAGGCGGCACUCUGGGACGGUACUGACGCUGAGACGCGAAAGCGUGGGGAGCGAACAGG
rnacentral:rRNA from 1 species